AGGACAAAUAAACUGAGGGAUCUAGAUGCUCUAUUGCAACAUCCUUUCUGAAUAAUGAAUGUGGGACUAUGCUUUGUACUGUCUUUUGUUUAGACUUCCAGUUUUUUAAGUCACAGCACAAUCCAUAUGAAUUGUCUCCAAUUCCACACCAUAACCUCGAAAGAACAGAAACUCCUACUCCCUUUCAUGUAAGAGAAUCAGACCUCAUACCAGGACCAGAGGUAACACCAGCAAGUUCACCUUUUCUCUGAGGAAGACAUUUUUCCAAUGGAUACAAAUCCUAAAUGGUUGUCCUUUGGCUGACUGACAGUAUGCACAUUCAGUUAUUGAUGGGCAAAAAUCCAACAGCAGCGUUCAGUCAAAGUCUGAACUCUGUGUGGAGCACCUCUGGAUAGUUUCCAAAGCCAUCAUUCUCUCUGUGGUGGCCAUAGAGACCUCAGAAACACCUUCAACUAGCUAAACACUUUGUCUUCUAGAAAUAAAAAUCUAUCUCUAUGGGAAAUCUGAAGAACUCUAUCAUGGAUGCAGCUAGUUUGGGUCAGCUUGAACAACGAAAAUGCAUAGACGCUCAAAAUCUAGGCACCGAACUGCAAGUUAACAGCACUGCAGAGGAAUAAUGAUUUCCUCUGAAGCUUGACUUUCCUGAGACAACUGUAUUAAUGUUUUGCUGUUUGCUGUAAGGAAAAAACUUCAACUGCAGCCCAGCAUGAUGAAAAUAUACCUUUUCAAGUGAAGCAUCAGAAACUCUUGAAGGAUCUGCCAGGUGCUUUUAAGCAAUAUUCAUUUAUAUGACAGCUAGGAUUCUAGUAUUAAGUAACUUCCCAAAUGCCUAAAGAACUUCCUCUAUAAGAAGCAUAAGAAAAAUUUCCAGAAAUACCAGCAGAUCUUUUUAAGUCUGUGCUUAAAAAUAAAAAUUAUUUAAGUGCUUUUUGUUUAGUCCUUUCCUACCUGCCAUUCUGUAAUUGCUUGGUAGGACUCCUCUCCCUUUUCUAAGGGUCAUUUAAAAUUCACAUACAGAGUGCGUGCUUUGUCAGUUAAGUUUCAUUUUCAGAGCAAAUCACUGUGUCCCUGGAUGAGAAUUCUUCCCCACAGAAAAGCCAGGAUGCACUUUUGGUUCCAAGAAUCAACAGAAAUUUAUGUAGCUUCAUGAAAGCAUAACACAAAAGACUCAUCU